UAGCUAGUUUAACUGUAAUCUUUACCAAGCACAGCAAAUAAUGGUUAUCUGGUACAAUGCAUUGGUGGAGGUAGUGAGAUCUUAACGACUUCAGAGACAUUAAAUUUCAGACACGUAGUAUUUAUACUUUAUUUCAUUUUCCUAUGCUAAAGUAACAAGGCUUUCUUGGAAUUCUGUUCAGUUGUUUUGAUGGCAGUCUCACCUGCAUCUGGACACUUUGUUUUCAGUCAUAUAUUGUUAGGUUCUUUGUGUGGAGAAUACUCUGUUGAUUAAGAACAACAAGACCUUUCGUUUUAUGGGAGCAGGAAGAAAAGUUCUAAACCGAAACUCUUCAUUGCGUCUCUGCUCCAGAUUCCACAUAUGAGUGAUAUCGUAUGGUAUUUUUCUUCCUCUGCCUGCAGAUUGUCCCUGCUCUUGAGGGGCUUAAAGUCUGAUACGGGAGAGGGACAUUUCUGGGCAAGGCUACUGCAUGAGAAAACCAACACGUGUCUACUGGCAGAAUUGGAUUUCUGUGCUCAUCUCCACUUACUCUCUACCUAUGGAGUCUGACCAAGGCUCUUACCCUCUACAAAGGGUAAGAGCCUUUCCACUGAGGGGCCAUUGCCAACAACAUAAGUGACCCAGAAAGUGCUAGGCCCAGUGAACAGGAAAAGUGCAGUUUCGAGUACCAUCUGUGUGCCAAGGAGCAUGUGGAAGUCACUCCAGCCUCACAGUCCAAGAAUGGUGGGGCCACGCCAGCUGCCCAUUUUGUGUUCCACGGCGAAGAAUAUGAGUAUCGUAAGCAAAUGGAAUGUCCCAAUUUGAGUGCCAGGAGCAGGGGCAGGAUGAAGCCAUGACUCUGGGGAGAGAGAAGCAGAGAGGAAGACGGGAGGGUGAUGGGAUGAGGGUAUCUUCUCUCUUCGGGUUGCCCCUGGGAGGCAGACUUUCACAAGCUAAGAGCUGAAAAGAAUCAUCAAGCUGCAGUUUGCCUGGUCUGCUGGACUUUCCGGUUUCUUCCUGAUUGCCUUUGAAUUCUUUCUGAUUCUGGACCGAGCCUGUGUGCCUUUCCAAUCUUUGUGGGGCAUAAAAGCGCUAUUGUACAUACCCAUGGAAAUAAACAGAGGCAAUACCUGAAUCUUG